GAUGAACGCUAGCGGGAGGCUUAACACAUGCAAGUAGAGGGGUAUAGUAGCAAUACUAGAGACCGGCGCACGGGUGAGUAACGCGUAUGCAACCUGCCCUUUACAGGAGGAUAGCCCGCUGAAAGGCGGAUUAAUACUGCAUAAUAUGGUACAAUCGCAUGGUUGAACCAUAAAAGCUGAGGCGGUAAAGGAUGGGCAUGCGUUACAUUAGCUAGUUGGCGGGGUAACGGCCCACCAAGGCUACGAUGUCUAGGGGUUCUGAGAGGAAGGUCCCCCACACUGGUACUGAGACACUGACCAGACUCCUACGGAAGGCAGCAGUGAGGAAUAUUGGUCCAUGGGCGCGAGCCUGAACCAGCCAUCCCGCGUGCAGGAAGACGGCCCUAUUGGUUGUAAACUGCUUUUGGGCAGGAAGAACGUACAGAUCGCUAUUUGUAGUGACGGUACUGCAUGAAUAAGCACCGGCUAACUCCGUGCCAGCAGCCGCAGUAAAAC
rnacentral:rRNA from 1 species